AAGAAUCGUGGAGGUAGAGCACUGAUUGGGUGCGGGGCCCGCAAGGGUUACCAAGCUCAGUCAAACUCCGAAUGCCAUAGAUUUAGUUCCGGGAGUCAGACAGUGAGUGCUAAGAUCCAUUGUCGAAAGGGAAACAGCCCAGACCAUCAGCUAAGGUCCCCAAGUGUGUGUUAAGUGGGAAAGGAUGUGGAGUUGCACAGACAACCAGGAUGUUGGCUUAGAAGCAGCCACCAUUGAAAGAGUGCGUAAUAGCUCACUGGUCGAGUGACUCUGCGCCGAAAAUGUAACGGGGCUAAACACACCACCGAAGCUAUGGCUUGAUGCUUGCAUCAGGGGUAGGGGAGCGUUGAAUGCGGGUUGAAGGUGUACCGGAAGGAGCGCUGGACUGCAUUCAAGUGAGAAUGCCGGUAUGAGUAACGAAAAGAUCUGUGAGAAUCAGAUCCGCCGAAAGCCUAAGGGUUCCUGAGGAAGGUUCGUCCGCUCAGGGUAAGUCGGGACCUAAGGCGAGGCCGAUAGGCGUAGUCGAAGGACAACAGGUCGAAAUUCCUGUACCACCGUAAUCCG
rnacentral:rRNA from 1 species